rnacentral:pre_miRNA from 1 species
AGCGGGUUACUCAGCCAAGGAUGACUUGCCUACAUCAUCUGAAGUACUGAUUAUUGGGAUGCCAUUCAGUAGAGUUCGUUUGUAGGCAAGUCAUCUUUAGGCGCAGCAUCCGGCUCU